GGCGUACGGGUGCGUAACGCGUAUGGAACCUGCCCUUAUCUGGGGGAUAACUUGGGGAAACUCGAGCUAAUACCGCAUAAGAUAGUAGAGUGGCAUCACUCAGCUAUUAAAGAUUUAUUGGAUAAGGAUGGCCAUGCGUAAGAUUAGAUAGUUGGCGAGGUAACGGCUCACCAAGUCUACGAUCUUUAGGGGCUCUGAGAGGAGAAUCCCCCACACUGGCACUGAGAUACGGGCCAGACUCCUACGGGAGGCAGCAGUAGGGAAUAUUGGGCAAUGGGCGGAAGCCUGACCCAGCCACGCCGCGUGCAGGAAGACGGCCCUUGGGUUGUAAACUGCUUUUAACUGGGAAGAAAAGAGGCCUUGCGAGGCAAGUUGACGGUACCAGUUGAAUAAGCCACGGCUAACUACGUGCCAGCAGCCGCGGUAAUACGUAGGUGGCGAGCGUUAUCCGGAUUUAUUGGGUUUAAAGGGAGCGUAGGCGGCUGAUUAAGUCAGCGGUGAAAGGUAGCAGCUUAACUGUUUUAAUGCCGUUGAUACUGGUUGGCUUGAGUUGACAGAAGGCAGAUAGAAUUCCUGAUGUAGCGGUGAAAUGCUUAGAUAUCAGGAGGAAUACCGAUUGCGAAGGCAGUCUGCUGCAGUCACACUGACGCUGAGGCUCGAAGGUGCGGGGAUCAAACAGGAUUAGAUACCCUGGUAGUCCGCACAGUAAACGAUGAUUACUAGAUGUUGGCUAUGCCAGUGUCCAAGGGAAACCGAUAAGUAAUCCACCUGGGGAGUACGCCGGCAACGGUGAAACUCAAAGGAAUUGACGGGGGUCCGCACAAG
rnacentral:rRNA from 1 species